GGCUUUUUGUUAAUAAUUUAAGGUCUAGCCUGCCCACUGAAAAAAUUAAAGGGCUGCAGUAUUUUGACUGUACUAAGGUAGCAUAAUCAUUAGUUUUUUAAUUAGAAGCUGGAAUGAAUGGUUGAAUGAAAAAAGAACUGUCUCAAUUUAAUUUAAAAUGAAAUUUAUUUUUAAGUCAAAAAGCUUAAAUUUUUUUAAAAGACGAGAAGACCCUAUAGAGUUUGAUAUAAUUUUUAUUUUAAGUUUUUAGUUAAUUUAAUUUUAAAUUUAUUGUUAUAUUUAAUUGGGGUGAUUGAAAAAUUUAAUAAACUUUUAUUAUUAAAAAUCAUAUAUAAAUGAAUAUUUGAUCCAUUAGUUUUGAUUAUAAGAUUAAAUUACCUUAGGGAUAACAGCGUAAUUUUUUUUGAGAGUUCUAAUCGAAAAUAAAGUUUGCGACCUCGAUGUUGGAUUAAAAUUAAUUUUUAAUGUAGAAGUUAGAAAUUUUAGGUCUGUUCGACCUUUGAAAUUUUACAUGA
rnacentral:rRNA from 1 species